AUGUUAUAUGGUGUGUCUGCUCCUAAAGUGAUCGUCCUGCCGCCGUCCAGUGAAGAGAUUUCCAGCAAGAAGACAGCAACAGUGAUGUGUGUGGCCAGCAAUGGUUUCCCUUCAGACUGGAGUCUGAGCUGGAAAGUGAAUGGGAAGAUGUCAGGAUCUCAGGAGAACAGAGCUGGAGUCCUACAGAAAGACGGCGGUCUGUACAGCUGGAGCAGCAGUCUGACUCUCACUGAACAAGAAUGGAUCAACAGAGACUCAGUGAUCUGUGAGAUCAGUCGGGAAGGUCAGACAGUCACUGGAGAAGUGAAGAAAGAUCUGUGUUCUCAGUAGAUCCUCUCUUCUUCUCAUCUCUUCUUCUCAUUCAUGUCUCACAUCAACAGUGGACAACUAU